UGAAGCCCCCCUCGAGAUGAGAUUUCCCAUCACUUUAUGUGAGUAAGAUCCCUGGAAGAUGACCAGGUAGAUAGGUCAGAGGUGGAAGCAUGGCGACAUGUGGAGCUGACUGAUACUAAUCGAUCGAGGACUUAACCACAA
rnacentral:rRNA from 1 species